AAUCUGAUGAUGGGGACAGCUUGCAUACUACCUCUUAUAUCUCUCCCAAUACUCAUAUAAGCUCUCAACAUGUUGUUGCCAGAUUCCAGAAAUAUCUUUUUUGAUU